AUACAGAGGGUGCAAGCGUUAAUCGGAAUUACUGGGCGUAAAGCGCGCGUAGGCGGUUUGCUCAGUCGGAUGUGAAAGCCCAGGGCUCAACCUUGGAACUGCAUACGAUACUGGCAAACUAGAGUGUGAGAGAGGAGAGUGGAAUUUCCGGUGUAGCGGUGAAAUGCGUAGAUAUCGGAAGGAACAUCAGUGGCGAAGGCGACUGUCUGGCGCAACACUGACGCUGAGGUGCGAAAGCGUGGGUAGCAAACAGGAUUAGAAACCCGAGUAGUCC
rnacentral:rRNA from 1 species